rnacentral:rRNA from 1 species
UGGGGAAUUUUCCGCAAUGGGCGAAAGCCUGACGGAGCAAUACCGCGUGAGGGAGGAAGGCUUUUGGGUUGUAAACCUCUUUUGUUAAGGAAGAAUCAAGUGACGGUACUUAACGAAUCAGCAUCGGCUAACUCCGUGCCAGCAGCCGCGGUAAUACGGAGGAUGCAAGCGUUAUCCGGAAUCAUUGGGCGUAAAGCGUCCGCAGGUGGUUCAUCAAGUCUGCUGUUAAAGAGUGUAGCUUAACUACAUAAAGGCGGUGGAAACUGCACCACUAGAGUACGUUCGGGGCAGAGGGAAUUCCUGGUGUAGCGGUGAAAUGCGUAGAUAUCAGGAAGAACACCGGUGGCGAAAGCGCUCUGCUAGGCCGUAACUGACACUGAGGGACGAAAGCUAGGGGAGCGAAUGGGAUUAGAUACCCCUGUAGUCC